GCUCAACAAAUGGUGCUGUUCUCCCACAUUUAAACCAGUGACAGGGCAGGAUAAGAUGGUAUCAGUGCCUUCCCUUACUACAGCGCAUGUUCUGCAACACGGCUAUGGAAUGCAACCUGUGAUGCCAGGAAACUCACAGAUAAACUAAAUCAUGUGCCAGAUGUCGAGCACCAAUGUGUUUGGAAGUUCCAUUGUUCUGUGUGCGAACAGUUUUGGAAGUUUGGAUGAAUCAAGUUUCUGAAACUGACUGGAAAGAAACUUAAUUUUCAAAAACUAAGAUUUUAUUGCAAUUCAUGAUACUGUGAAAUAUUUUUAUAAUUGCUGUACAUUCAGCUAAAAGUUACAGUAAAAUUUUCUUGUAAGUUAUGCCUGCAGAAACUUUUGUA